GAAAAUAAAAAAAGGUUUUAAUACAAAAAUAUUAACAAAACCCCAAAAAUUUUGCAGUGGUGGAUGUUGCUUUUGAGUUUGAGUAACCGAGCCAGCUGAACGAAGGAAGCUUUUUUUUCUCAAAUCUCGUACUCUUGUCAAGUCUUCUAGAUUUGGUUAAAACAGAGCCCUAGCGAUCAUGUUCACUGAAGGUCUUGACAAUAAUGCCGUUCGCUGGGUGCGGGAGAAUCAAGUACCAUUAUCAAAUUCAAAUUUAAGACCGCCUAUGACUAGCCUUCGUAACGGCCAUGGAUUUGGCUUACCCCCGCCGACUAAAUUCAGAAGCGGUCACUUGCCUGCGACAGCUAUUCCGGUGUCUAGAACAUUACCGAGGGAUGCGGGGGAUAGUGUCUCGGCUUCUGAAAAUGACAUCUCUACUGAUUCAGAGGAUGACGUGUACGGUGGACGAUACUCGCUAGAUUCAUCGCCACGAGACCCAAGAAUCUCUCGUAGAAAUGGGAAUUCCGUGCAAAGGCAUGCACGCUAUACGAGUGACUAUGGGUAUUCAGAUGUGAGUUCGUCGAGGGAGACAAUUUUUGGGAGGGAAAAAAACUUGGGUGCGAGGUUGGUGAGGGGCAAUGGAAGGACUGUUUAUACUGAGGAAGAUGAAGAGGAGGAAUCGGAUUCAGUUGCUAGCACAGAGUUUUCGACUACUCAAUUGGGGAGUGUUAGUGGCGUUGGCGGGACGAGGAGAAGAACCUAUGUUUCGGAGGGGUAUACCUCAAGUGUGACUUCGCAUGCCAACUUUGGAAGUGCGGUUGAAAAGGAUCUGCGUUCCAGAAACAUACAUAAUGAAAAGUACACUGAGGAUGAUGAUGGUGAUGAUGAUGAUGACAUUCCUAGUGCACCCCCGAUUUCUGGUUCUGCCCAGGAAAUUAAACAAGCUGGCGAACAACUUCCAGGAUCAAGAGUACAGUGUGCCUCGUCCGCAGCAAAUACUCUUGAUUCAUCGACUAAAAAUGAUUCAAAUACAUAUAAACCUAUGUCUGGGUUUAGGCCAGAUGAUAUUACUGGAAACAGAAAUUUUGCUCGGUUUGCAAGAACUACAGUUGGUGCUGAAUCAGCCGUGUCUUCAGGUUCAUACCCAUCUCGUCUCCCUACGUUUCAUGCCAGUGCUCUUGGGCCAUGGCAUGCAGUAAUUGCAUAUGAUGCCUGUGUUCGACUUUGCCUUAAUGCUUGGGCUAGGGGUUGUAUGGAAGCACCCAUGUUUCUGGAUGAUGAAUGUGCUCUUCUACGUGAUGCAUUUGGGUUGCAGCAAGUGCUGCUGCAAUCUGAGGAGGAACUAUUGUUGAAGCGCACUUCAGAACCUGCCAAGGAGGGGGCUGUACCUAAACCUAAGAAAGUUAUUGGGAAGAUGAAGGUUCAAGUCCGUAAAGUGAAGACAAGCCUAGAUCCGCCUACUGGAUGUAGUAUGUCAUCUUUAAGGCCACAAGUGAUUAAACUGGAAUCAAUCCGAUAUCGUUUAUCCAGUUUGCAGUCAUCUCUUUCUUCUGGCUGGCGAGCUCUUCAAAAAAUUCGUUGUGUACCUCGUGCACCUGCAAAUCGUUCAUUUUCUCGUCAGAGCUUGGCAUAUGUACAUGCUGGUACUCAGUAUAUAAAGCAGGUGUCUGGACUUCUGAAAAGUGGUGUGACAAGUCUACGCAAUAGCUCAUCAUCGUAUGACAUUGUGCAAGAAACAUACUCUUGUGUGAUAAGGUUGAAGAGUUCAACUGAAGAAGAUGCCAUCCGAAUGCAGCCUGGAUCUGGUGAAACGCAAGUCUUCUUUCCAGAUGGUCUUGGAGACGAUCUUAUUGUUGAAGUCCUGGACUCCAAGGGGAAGCAUUAUGGCCGUGUUGUAGCCCAAGUAGCAACUAUUGCUGAGGAUCCGACUGACAAACUGCGCUGGUGGUCAGUUUAUCAUGAACCAGAACACGAGCUUGUGGGAAAGCUACAGCUCUACAUCUAUUACUCAACAAGUUCUGAUGAUAAUAGUCAGCUCAAGUGUGGCUCUGUUGCAGAAACAGUUGCGUAUGACUUGGUUUUGGAAGUUGCUAUGAAAGUUCAACAGUUUCGGCAAAGGAAUUUGUUACUGUAUGGUUCAUGGAAAUGGCUCUUAAUGGAGUUUGCCUCAUACUAUGGGGUUUCCAAUGUCUAUACCAAGCUAAGGUACCUUUCCUAUAUAAUGGAUAUUGCUACACCUACAGCCGAUUGCCUGACAUUGGUCUAUGACUUACUAGAACCUGUGAUUAUGAAAGGCCACACCAAAAGCACAUUGAGUCAUCAGGAGAACCGUAUCCUGGGGGAGACCAAGGACCAGAUUGAACAGAUUCUUGCUUUGGCAUUUGAGAACUACAAAUCACUAGACGAAUCAGCCUUCUCAGGUAUUAUUGAUGUUUUCAAACCUGCAACUGGGGUUGCUGCUCCUGCCCUGGAACCUGCUGUGAAACUUUAUACACUCCUUCAUGAUAUACUGUCUCCUGAGGCGCAGAAUAACCUGAGCCAAUAUUUCCAGGCAGCUGCCAAAAAGAGAUCAAGAAGGCAUUUGGCUGAAACUGAUGAACUUGUUUCCAGCAAUAAUGAAACAAAUUUCACUGAUACUAUUGCUAUGGCUACUGCUUACCAAAAGAUGACAUCAGUUUGUGUGAACAUUAAAAAUGAGAUUUUUACUGACAUAGAGAUCCACCAUAAACAUAUACUUCCCAGUUUCAUAGAUCUCCCAAACCUGUCUUCACCCAUAUAUAGCACAGAGCUUUGCAGUAGAUUACGUGCUUUCCUUCUUGCAUGCCCCCCAUCUGGCCCUUCCCCUCAUGUAGCUGAACUUAUUAUUGCAAGUUCAGAUUUUCAGAGAGAUCUUGCCAGCUGGAACAUUAGUCCUGUGAAAGGUGGAGUUGAUGCAAAAGAAUUGUUCCAUCUGUACAUCUUGCUGUGGAUUCAAGAUAAGCGCCUCUUUUUGCUUGAGUCAUGUAAAUUGGAUAAGGUUAAAUGGUCAGGAGUUAGGACACAGCAUUCUACAACUCCUUUUGUUGAUGAUAUGUAUGACCGCCUGAGAGAGACCUUGAAUGACUAUGGAGUCAUCAUUUGCCGCUGGCCAGAAUAUGUUUUCGUGCUUGAGAAUGCUAUUGCUGAUGUGGAAAAAGCUAUAGUAGAAUCUUUAGAUAAGCAAUAUGCAGAUGUCCUAGCACCAUUGAAGGAAAAUUUGGCUCCCAAGAAAUUUGGCCUGAAGUAUGUGCGGAAACUUACCAAACGGUCUGUAUGUGCUUACACAGUCCCUGAUGAGCUGGGCAUUUUGUUGAACUCCAUGAAAAGGAUGCUUGAUGUCUUGCGUCCUAAGAUAGAAGUUCAGUUCAAAUCAUGGGGUUCUUGCGUCCCUGAUGGUGGAAAUGCAGCUCCUGGCGAGCGUCUUAGCGAAGUAACAGUUAUGUUGAGAACAAAGUUUAGGACUUAUUUGCAAGCUGUUGAUGAGAAACUUGCGGAGAAUACCAAGUUACAAAGUGCUACAAAAUUGAAAAAGAUUCUCCAAGAUUCUAAGGAAACGGUGGGAGAAUCUGAUAUAAGAGCUAGAAUGCAGCCACUGAAAGACCAGCUAACAAAUACAAUAAAUCACCUUCACACUGUUUUUGAGACUCGUGUCUUUGUUGCAAUCUGCCGGGGCUAUUGGGACUGGAUGGGACAAGAUGUUCUCAGUUUCCUGGAGAACAGGAAAGAGAAUAGGUCAUGGUAUAAAGGUUCACAAAUUGCAGUGUCUAUUCUAGAUGAUACAUUUGCCUCACAGAUGCAGCAGCUACUUGGAAAUGCGUUACUCGAGAAAGACCUGGAUCCCCCGAGAUCAAUCUCAGAAGUGCGAUCAAUGCUUUGCAAGGAUAUUCCCAAUCAUAAGGGCAACACAUUCUACUAUUAGGGAGUCUUCCAUCGAAGGCAUAUUUUACAUAAAUUUUUUCUUUGAAAGCAUGGAGAUACAAGGUGCUGCAAGAUGAUAUGAUCUCCUUUCCUUGGCCUGCUGAAAUAUAUAUGAAGUUAUUCACAAGUUUCAGUCAGUUUUGUUACGAGAGCAAUCGACUCAGCUGCUCCAAAUUCCCAGUUUCUUCUAAACCCUCCUUUUACAAGCACAUUUUACUGGGUCGGAAAAUGACUGGGAGAUAAGUUGCAGUUAGAUUAGCCAUCGUUCGACACAACCCCGUUUUAUUUCCAAGACAUUAUGAAGUUUUUACCAAGUUUGUGUUGUAAUAACUAAUAACUGAACUCUUGAAGCUAUGUAUCAGAAAGAAUAACUACAUUUUUUGGAAGUUAAAGAAAUAAUAUAAUAAAAGAAAGAACGACCUGCUUUUGGAUCUUCUA